rnacentral:rRNA from 1 species
AUUGAACGCUGGCGGCAGGCUUAACACAUGCAAGUCGAGCGGUAACAGAGAGAAGCUUGCUUCUCUGCUGACGAGCGGCGGACGGGUGAGUAAUGCCUAGGAAUCUGCCUAGUAGUGGGGGAUAACUUGCCGAAAGGUAAGCUAAUACCGCAUACGUCCUACGGGAGCAAUGAGGGGACCUUCGGGCCUUUCGCUAUUAGAUGAGCCUAGGUCGGAUUAGUUAGUUGGUGAGGUAAAGGCUCACCAAGACCGCGAUCCGUAACUGGUCUGAGAGGAUGAUCAGUCACACUGGAACUGAGACACGGUCCAGACUCCUACGGGAGGCAGCAGUGGGGAAUAUUGGACAAUGGGGGGAACCCUGAUCCAGCCAUGCCGCGUGUGUGAAGAAGGUCUUAGGAUUGUAAAGCACUUUAAGUUGGGAGGAAGAGCAGUUAACUAAUAUUUGACUGUUUUGACGUUACCGACAGAAUAAGCACCGGCUAACUUCGUGCCAGCCGCCGCAGUAA